CCUUGAUAGAACUUAUGUGUUGUGAUGAAAUCCUUAGAACUAUAAGAUAUUGAUAAAGAAAGAUUUAUCGAAUAGUUCUUAAAUAUAUUCAUAACCAAAUGAUACGUCAUUAAAGGAUGAUGACGUUUUAUCGAGUGUAGGUCAUUGUGUGUCAUAUAGGUUGGUUGUCCUCUUAACCAAGAAGUGUGGGGACAUUGGUAUGGUAUACAAGU
rnacentral:lncRNA from 1 species